AUUAAUACUUGGAGAGGUAAGUGACAUGAACAACUAAGUCUAUCUCAAAUAAAGAACCUUUAUUUAGUAGAUCUUGUUUUUGUCUUUUUGUGUGCUCUU
rnacentral:sRNA from 1 species